CACCUACUAAAUAAAAUAAAAUAUUUGCAAAUGAUAUGACCUAUAAGGGAUUAAGACCCAACAUACAUAAACAGCUUAUGCAACUCAACAACCAUUUUUCCAAAGAGAAAAUGCAGAUGGCCA